rnacentral:tRNA from 1 species
GCCUCCGUGGCGCAAUCGGUUAGCGCGUUCGGCUGUUACCCGAAGGUUGGAGGUUCGAUUCCUCCCGGUGGCG